UUUUUUGGUGAUUUUACUUUGUUUUCUAACAUUUUAAAAUGUUGAUGAUGUUGUUAUGAUUGUCAAACACAGUCUUGUCCAAAUUUUACUUUAAAAAAUAGCCUUUCUGAUUUAAAAGCAAUUAUUAUUGUUUUUUAUAAUAUCAAGUUUAAAGCUUUUCGUACAUCUUUUCCCCAUAUUUAUAAUAAUUGAGUUGCCUUUCUAUGUGUCUAAUGAAUCCAGUAAUUGACAUAUUCUUUUGUGUUGAUGACUUUGACAUUUAGACAUCAGAUGUUUAAAUUUGUUUAUCACUUAAAAACUUAACAUCUUUAGAAUAUAGCAAUGAAACAUUUUUUAGUAAUCUUUUGACAUAACGUUUUAUGCAAAAGCAUCAUGACUUUG
rnacentral:lncRNA from 1 species